UCCGCGCGCCUCAAGUCCUUCGAGUCUAGCCUCGGCCUCAGCCGCAAGCCUUCCGCCUCAGCAAGUUCGUCCAGACGUCAACACCCUCCACGCGCACCCCGGCCCCCUCCUCCACCCUUCGUGUUCCUCGCCUACGGCGACGAGGGCGUCUACUACUUCAUCGGGCAGUUCGUCUGGCUCGCGAAAGCUGGCCUCCUCCCGGCGCAGCUCCUCCCCCGCCUUCAGCGCCUCAGCGCCUGGGCCGAGCUGCUGGGCUACGUCGGCUCCAUCACCAUCAAGCUGGAAGUGGUGAUGAAGAUGGAGUCUUCAAUCAAGAUGCGGCUGGCGGAGGGUUGUGGGGAGGAGAAUGAGGCGGUGCGGACGAUGAGGGAGAAGCUGCUGCUGAAGCGUCUAUCCGUUAUGCAGGACGUGGCGGAUGCCUUCAUGGUGCUAGGGGACGUGACUAACGGGAAGGGGUUGCUCGGUAACUCCACGCUGACAGCGUCCGCCGGAUUGCUGUUGGCCCUGAUCAGCACGCACAAGAACUGGAAUUCUUGCUGA
rnacentral:rRNA from 1 species